AAAGCACCGAAUUAGAAAAUGGAAUGCAAAAUGUGAAACGAGUAAUUGAUGCAAAGUCCAUAUAAAUAUAUGAUCGUUAACUUUAACGCCUUGUUCAAAAGUGCUAUUAAAUAGGGAUUUCUUGCUUACAGACAAAUUGGCAUAAACGGUCAAUCAUUAUCCCGAUUAAAUUAAAAAUUGAUGAACAGUGCACAAAACAAAAGCAUUUUCACCUUGACAUGAGAAUAUCAAAAAUUAUUAGGCCUCUUAUAAAUUAAAUUCGUCAAAUAAAAGAACGGCGCGACUAUGGUUCAUAGAUACAUGGAUAUGUCAAACAGUGUCUAAAGGGGAAUGCAAAAAAAUGAUGAAAUGCUAAAUCA